rnacentral:rRNA from 1 species
UGCAGCCGCGGUAAUUCCAGCUCCAAUAGCGUAUAUUUAAGUUGUUGCAGUUAAAAAGCUCGUAGUUGAAUUUCGGGGCUAGUAGGCUGGUCGUGCCACUGGUAUGUACUGGUCUUACUGACUUCUCCUUUCUGAAGAACUGUAAUGCCAUUAAUUUGGUGUUGCGGGGAAACUGGACUGUUACUUUGAAAAAAUUAGAGUGUUUAAAGCAGGCUAACGCUUGAAUACAUUAGCAUGGAAUAAUGAAAUAGGACGUUCGAUCUUAUUUUGUUGGUUUCUAGGAUUGACGUAAUGAUUAAUAGGGAUAGUUGGGGGCAUUAGUAUUCAAUUGUCAGAGGUGAAAUUCUUGGAUUUAU